GCAUUCACCUACCACCACGACACACUUCUAUAUUCACGUUGUCACACCGUAAUGGAUAGGUCAUAGGUGACUGGUGUGGAUGAUUUAAGACAUGGUAGACAAUAGAGACUGUUGAAGGCUAGCUAGUGUACAUAACGAGUCUCUAGGUUAAAUGGUCACAACCAAUGUGGUUCCAUAUUUUCCUCAAAGAAUUUCCCAGACAAGAUACAAUGUGUUUAAAACAGGGGGCACUUGGCUGUCAUUACAGAGCCAUAGCAUUGCUUAUACAUCAGGAAGGAAAAUACAACACUGAUAUCAAUAGUAAAUAUACACCGUUAAAUUAAACCCAGUUUGAUGUGCUAGUUUGAUCAUAGUAUUAAAGGGGAAUGGAAACACUAAAGGAAAUUAAUCUAAGCAAAGAUAUGUAUUCAAUCCACUAAUAGUAAACAUGUGCAUUUAACAUAAAAAACAUAUCUAUAUUUAUUAUUUUGAUCGUCGACAAAGUUUAUUUGAGCUAUAGUCAGCGCCAUUUUAAAUUGCCAUAGUAACGACUGACACCAGUGCGUCCCUGGCAGGAAUCAGCUCAUUGUCUGUGGUAUCGAAGAGAGUGAGGUUAGGGGCGGACAACAACAAAUAGUAAGUCAAACAUGAACUGUAUUGCGCCAGGCUGUAUGAAUUGUCUCCAAAAAUAUCCCUCGGUAAACUACCACAUAGGCUGCCCAAGGACACGCAACUUUUGAAGAAGUGUCUCCGUGUCCUGAAGAGGAAGGAUGUGCCAGCUCGAACUCACAGGAUCUGCAGACAGCAAUUCGCGGAGGCAGACUUCACGAUGAAGGGCACUUUCGAUAAGGAUGACAUCCCUGAAAAGGUUUUCAUCCUGGAGGAGACUGCAGGAGGCAGAGGAGGAAAGAAUGGUUAGUACAGCAUGCCAAACUGACCCCUGGGUGCCAGAUUGUUGCUGUGCUGCGGUGGAGAGGAGAACCACCGGGACCCUCACUAAAGAGGUCCACUGGGACCCUCGCUAAAGAGGUCCACCGGGACCCUCGCUAAAGAGGUCCACCGGGACCCUCGCUAAAGAGGUCCACCGGGACCCUCGCUAAAGAGGUCCACCGGGACCCUCGCUAAAGAGAACCACCGGGACCCUCACUAAAGAGGUCCACUGGGACCCUCACUAAAGAGAACCACCGGGACCCUCGCUAAAGAGAACCACCGGGACCCUCACUAAAGAGAACCACCGGGACCCUCGCUAAAGAGAACCACCGGGACCCUCGCUAAAGAGGUCCACCGGGACCCUCGCUAAAGAGAACCACCGGGACCCUCGCUAAAGAGAACCACCGGGACCCUCGCUAAAGA